GACGAACGCUGGCGGCGUGCUUAACACAUGCAAGUCGAACGGAAAGGCCCUGCUUUUGGGGUGCUCGAGUGGCGAACGGGUGAGUAACACGUGAGUAACCUGCCCUUGACUUUGGGAUAACUUCAGGAAACUGGGGCUAAUACCGGAUAGGAGCUCCUGCUGCAUGGUGGGGGUUGGAAAGUUUCGGCGGUUGGGGAUGGACUCGCGGCUUAUCAGCUUGUUGGUGGGGUAGUGGCUUACCAAGGCUUUGACGGGUAGCCGGCCUGAGAGGGUGACCGGCCACAUUGGGACUGAGAUACGGCCCAGACUCCUACGGGAGGCAGCAGUGGGGAAUAUUGCACAAUGGGCGGAAGCCUGAUGCAGCAACGCCGCGUGCGGGAUGACGGCCUUCGGGUUGUAAACCGCUUUCACCUGUGACGAAGCGUGAGUGACGGUAAUGGGUAAAGAAGCACCGGCUAACUACGU
rnacentral:rRNA from 1 species